rnacentral:rRNA from 1 species
ACUUUUGACCUCGGAUCAGGUAG